AAGCUGUGGGCCGUGGGAAGCCGGGGUGUCAGUGCGGAGGGGCUGACGAGGCGUGGGGUCCAGGGCCCUGGGAAGUGGAGGUUGAACCAGCGGCCGUGAGCCGAGAGGGCUGUCCACGGAUGCCUGGGCUCCCGAGAAGAAAAUCUCCAACCGUGAGCCAAAAUCGUCAACAAACAAGCGAGAAGUCCCAGCAGUUCUGCAGCCUGAGGCAGCCCGUGCCAAACAGGCCUCCGGGAGAGACAUCCGACCUGUGAGUCUCUGUGGGUGCGCGGCGGUGCCAGGUCCCAGGAAGGUAGGAAGGCGCAGCGGUGGGGAGACCUGCCCUAGGAGAGCAAGCCCUGAGCGGACUAGUGGCGCGGGUGGGCGGCCAGGGAGGCUCACGUGGGGCCGGAGCCACACCCCCUGGAAGGUUCUAGCGGCCUCUCUGCCGCAGGCAGAGCCGGGGGAGGCUGAGGCCACGGUGCUGCAGACAGAGGUCCACAGGGUGGGCGGCCCUGCACCGGAGCCCACAGCUGCGCCGCUGCGCCCAGGCCCAGCAGGAAGAGAGUGAGAGUGGACACACCACCCACACCACCACCACGUCUCAGCGUCCUCCCGUGGUCAUCAGGGCUGGCCACGUUCUCAAUCACUUAAAAUUACAUCCUGAAUACAUUAGCUCUGGCAUCCUGAGAACAUGGUGGACCAGGCGAGGUUAAGGACAUCAUCAACAGCUAAAGAAGACCAACCUCACCAGCCUCGCCGGGGCUCACUCCUCCCCGCCAACCUGCCCGCUCCAGGCUCCUUUCCCAUCCCACACCCUCGGCCGUGGGAGGCCCCAGGCCUUGGGCCUCUUCUCAGCCUCGUGAGGAAAUGCCAUCGUGCCCAGACAGACCCCCGAAGGCUCACCUCCACCCCCAGCCCAGCUCUGGACUCCAGUCUCACACGUCCACGUCUCCACCUGACUGUCCUUUCAUCUCCAAAUAAGCAUACAGAAAACUUACUUCUGACUUCCACCGAACCCCUCAAUCCCAUGGCUCCCAGAGCCUGGGACUCCUGGCUCUUCCACACCUACGUCCAAUCCAUCAGCCAAGCCCACGGGCUCUGCCCCAGAAUCCAUCCUGUGGUGGAUGUGACUGACCCACCACAGUCACACUAGAGUGCACGCUACAACCUGCAGCCACAGCCCCAGACCAGACCCUGGCGCUUCGUUCCUUUAAAGCAAAGAUGCAUCUGGCCCCGCUCUGGUCAGAGCCCUGCACCUCUCCCUGAGAAAGCCAAGCGCCGAGGACACCAGCAGGCUAUGUGCACUGACCACUGAGGGGCGCCCACCUCUGAGCUCGGCCGUGGUUCUGCCCCAGGCCCCUCCCCAGCACGUAGCCCACGCCGCAGCACCCUGAGGCCUUUGCAGUCACCAUUGGCUCUGCCUGGCCCUCCUUCCCCUGCUAUCUCCAGUGCCCCUGGGCCCUCAGGAGUCGGCACGAGCCACAGCCCUGCCCUGCACCCAGCACGCGUCACCACCCGUGGGCCCCAGGAGGGCCUGCUCACCAGCCUGCCAUCCACCUCCUCCAGCACCCCAGCUCCACGUGGCAGGAACUUGUCUGUUCACUGCUGCAUCUGAAGUUGAGAGCCCAGGCGGAGACCAGUGAGGACCCAGCAAACGCCUCUGAACGAUGAAGGAGUAAAGGACUUCUGUAAAAUGACUUCGGGGCAGAGGGACACACAGCCAAGCUACCCCCACCCGGGACCAGCGGGGCAGCUGGAGUGGCAGCAGGGCCCUCUCCCACCUUUAAGGGGCUGGUAAGCUGUCCCCUGCAGCCUGUGGGACCCCUUCUCUGAUUCAGCACAGAGACUGAUGGCGAGGUCUGCGCCCCACAUGCCAGGAAGCGGCCGAGGCCCCUUGCCGGUUCCUGGGCAGAGGGUCCUAGGGCCGACACCCCUUCGUGCCUCACUAAAGGGUUUCUCCGUCUACCUCAUGUGACCCUCACAGUGGACCACCGGAGAGCAAGGAGAGCUCUAUCCUGGGAGGGAUGCACCUGGAUGGUCGCAGGGAAUGCAACAGUCCUGGGAUGGGGAGAUCCGCAGGCCCGGCGUCCAGAGCUGGGUUCAGCUGUCAGCAGGACACACGCUGCAGGAGCCCUUGGUCAGCCUCUGCCUGCCCUGACCCAACCGAACACCCGUGCAGAACCUGAGUCCCUCUGAGCGCUCGGGACCAGGUAAGGAGCCGCGUCUGCCAGGCCCCUGCCCCAGAGAACUAUCGGGCGCCCCAUGACAGGUGAGCAGAGCGUGGGCAGGGCUGGGGCUUGAACCCAGCCCCACCGCCUGAGACUGCAUCAGUCUUAGCACAGGUGGAGCUGAGGGUGUGUGUGCCUGUGUUCCCGUGUCCAAGCGCAUGCCUGUGUGUGCCCAUUCCCGCAACAAUGGGCAGCGAGCCAGCCAGGGCUGUCGGCAGCCGGGUACGUGUCUUGACUGGCCCCCGUGUGCAGGGCAGCGUGUCUGUGGUAGGGGGUUUACCCUUGUGUCAGAGCCGUGUUUGUCCAUGUGUUUCUGUGCAGGUGGCAUGUGUACAGGGACGUCUGAGUGUCUCUCUGGGGCACGGGCACUGCUGUCUCUGUGUCUUCAUCUGCCUGGGGGUGUGGUGUCCACGUGAAUGCCUGCUCUGCUCGGGGGCCUGUGGGCUGGGCGCGGAGGGUGCAGGCACCUGUGAGUGAAUCUAAGUCUGGGGGACGGUGUGUGGCUCUUGCGCUCGUGUUGGGUUUGGGGAGCACGUGUGUUGACUGGUACAUGGUGGUGCAAGACGGGGACCUUGUGGUUUGUCCCCGUGCAUCUGUGUGAUGAGAACUCAGGCCCACCUCCCACCCCAUCAAAGAAGUGGCCCUUCUGCUCCAUCUUUCAGACUGAGAAACAGGAGCUGGGUGAGUACAGAUCUCUGUUCCAAGUCCCACAGCCAGUCAGCGGCAGCUCAGAGCAGACAUGGCUGUCAGGAGCCAUAGUGGGAGAGUGGAGACGGGGGCCCGGGGUAGUGGUACCCAGGCCCUGGCCACACCGGCGGCUGACACCACACCACCGAGGUCUGACGAGGCUCCCUCUUCUGCCUGGAGUCGCCGCCGCCCCUGUAGCCACCAGGCACCCCAGGGUCUGUAGCAGAUACAUCCUGCACACGUGAUGCAGCCUGUUCCAGCAGGGGCCAGGGCUGGCGGCAGCAUCUCCCCUGUUACAAGGAAUUGUCUUCACGGGCUUGAAAGGACCAGGUCCUAAAGACAGAAGUCGGCUCCCCUCCCGCCCUCGCUGGGCAGCCGGCUCUCGACUGGGUGUUACUUCAACGUCAAGUGUGUGGACCCACACAGGGCCCCGUUCUGAGUCCCGUACAGUGCAGACAAAAAGCUAAAGCCCCAGCCACACUACAAAUGAGUGGACUGACUUUUAUUUUGCCCGCGCCAUGUGGCAUGUGGGAUCUUAGUUCCCCAACCAGGGAUCGAAGCCGCGACCCCUGCAGCGGAAGUGUGGAGUCCUAACAACUGGACCACCAGGGAAGUCCCUGGACUGACUUUUAAAUGGGCUUUGGAGACCUGGAAGCUCACUAGGAUGUCUGGAGGGCCCGUUCUUGGGACUGAGCAACAGGCUGACGUGGGGCAGGGGGUAGGGACCCAACAGGAGGGAGCAGAGCAGCUGCUCUGGUGGUGACACGUGCCCAGAACUCCAGAGACAGAGGCCCAGGGAGGACACACCCAGAUAUCUGAUGGCGAGACCCCAGUCCUGCACCCUGGUCCCUCCAGAUGGGAGCUUGGAUGGAACUUCUCUGAGAAAACUUCCCACGAAUGCCCAGAACCAAGGACACUGACAGUGGGGGCCCCAGCCCAGUGACCCUUCCUGGGUAUAGUCACCAUUUUGGGCCUCUCCAGUGCAGGCUGAGAGCUGAGGGUCACCGGACAUCUGAUGAGAGCCUCUAGCAGGCAAGAUGGAGCGAAACUAAGGAAGGACUGGAAGUCAGAGGAAGCAGAGCUCAAAGGGAAAGAAUUUUGUGAAUAUCCUCGGACAUGAGAAAACAUGGAUUGCGUUGUUGAAACAAUAAAAACUUUUUAAAAAGAGAGAGAGAGUGAGAGGGAGAAACUUGCAAACUGGAAAUAUGAUGGCAGAAAUAAAAUUUCAGUAAGGAUUAGAAGUGAAUUGAAGAAAUCGUUCAGAAAAUCAAGGCAAGAAUUGACAUGCAAAAUGGUUACCAAACACGUUUCAAAAUCAGGGAAUUGGCCCGGAGAUCUGAUAUCUAAGCAAGAGUACCAGAGACGCAGAGGAAACCAUGGGGAGCUCCAGACCCAGGCUGGAGAACUGAGCACUUCAGAUUAACCUUUUCCUGGAGGACAACCAGAUAAGGGGAGUGAACCACGUUUUAAUCCUAAAAGCAGCAAAGGGACAAGAGUCAGUGAGAAAUUGCCAGGCUGAGGAACAAAGACCACCGGUGUCUAGUGCGGGGAGCCCAGACUCGGCCCUCAGGCCAGCUGAGGCCCUACAGACCCCACAAACACGGUGACCCUGCAAACCCACAGCCUGCCUAGGGAGGGGCUGCACCCUGGGAACGAGGGUGACUCAGGCAAGAUCCAGCUCCCCGGGGCCCAGGACAACCACAAGUCGAGAAUCCUCAGAGCAUGAAAGUGCAGACUUUGAACUUGGAGUCACAGGAUUCUAAACAACCAGCACCACCAUGUGUCUGGAGGAAGUAAAAACCAACAAAAAUCCCUCCUGGAGGGAGAGAUUACAUCAGAGUAAUGCCAGUCAUUCCUUCAAAUAUUGCUUCAAAUAUCAUCUUCCACACAAAAUCAAAGGUGAGAAGGCGCGUGAAGAAGUGAAAGAUGACGAGCAGCUGCCAGCAUAGGACUCAGGAGAAACUGGACAAAACAACUGUAUUUACGAAACCCAAGGGGGCAGAACAAGCAGAAGCGGGAGGACACAGUAGACUGAACAGCCAUCAACUUGACCUACUUGACACUUAGAGGACACGCCACAAGACACAGAAGAAUACAUGCUUUUCAAGUGCACAUGGAACACUUACCAAGAUAGACCCUUAUUCUAGGCUGUAAAACAAGUCUCAAAUUUAAAAGAAUUGAAAGUGAUGCAGUGUAUGUUUCUGAUCAUAAUAGAAUUAAAAUAGAAACCAAUAAAAGAAUAAGAUACCUGGGAAGUCUCCAAAUAUUUGGAAACAGUACACUUCUAAAUAACUUGUUAGUUAAAUGAGAAAUCAAGAGAAAUAAGAAACUGUUUUUAAUGAAUAUAAAAACACAACAUGUCAAAAAUUGUGGAAUUCUCCUAGAGCAGUACUCAGGGAAAUUCAUAGCAUCAAACACCUAUGUUAGAAAAGAAGAAAGACCUUAAAUCAAUGAUAUCAGCUUCCAUAUUAAGAAACUAGAAAUAUAAUAAUAAACUAAGCACAAAAAUAAGCAGAAUAAAGGAAAUAAUAAAGAUCAGAGCAGAAAUCAGUGAAAUGGAACACAGAAAAAAAAGAGAGAAAAUCAAUGAAAACAAAUGCUGGUUCUUUGAGAGCAUCAAUAAAAUUGAUGAUACGGGGAUUUGCCACUUGUACAGACAUUCAGGACCGACUGGCACAGACCUCAAAGGAGACUCCUGAGGGGGCUCUCUUCUGCCCCGCCAGCUCUGGCUGCUGUGCUCCUCCCCUGGUCCUGAUCAACAGCACCUGUGUGGACCUGGAGAGGUGCUGUAGGUCUCAGGUUACUCUCAGUGAAGACCUGCUAAAGCAGACACAGGAACGCCUUUCAGGUAACUGCUGAUUCUAAAAAUAUUUUCAAUCUUACACCACCCUUUCCUUCACCACCUAUGUUCUUCUACGCUGAGCAACGAAUCACCACAAACCUAGUGGCUCAAAACAACACACAUUUGUUAUCUCAUGGUCUCUGUGGGACGCCGGCCUAAGCACAGCUGAGCUGGGUCCUGCUCAGGGCCCCAGGCUGCAGUCAGGUGGGCUGAGUUCUCAUCUGAGGCUUGACCAGGGCCGACCCUCAGGCAGAAUUUGUCUCCCUGCAGCUGUGGGACUGAGGUCCCAUUUUCUUUCUGGCUGCUCUCGGCCGGAGAGGCCACCGCCGUGCCCUGCCCUGGGGCCUUCCCACAGGCCUUCUCAUGAUGGUGGCUUGCUUCUUCAGGACCAGCAGGGCCAAGCUCAGACAGCGUCUUACAGGACGUACCGUGGUUACAGGAGGGACAGCCCCCCACCUUUGCAUGCUUACUGGUUCCCAUCCACCCUCAGGGGCUUUCUGUUGUCCUCAAAAUAUUAGUAAAAAUGGCCUGGAGAUGAGCUGGGUUCACUCAACACCCUAGAGCUCCUUUGCCCAGACAACUGUUGGCCAAAUUUAUACCUAAGCCCUUCCUUCCACUGCUUAACCUCAUAAAAUUCCCUUUUCAAAAAAUCUUUAUGGGACUUCCCUGGUGGCACAGUGGUUAAGAAUCCGCCUGCCAAUGCAGAGGACACGGGUUCGAGCCCUGGUCCAGGAAGAUCCCACAUGCCAUGA